AAAAUCUUGUGUGUGCAUUUGCCAGACUCUGCAGUCUGGCAUGCAUGCAGUCUCUCCCCUCUAUGAGUCGAGUAAAUAAAGUAGAAAACAUAUAGCCUAGCUCUUAAAUUAAAGGGUUAAAGUGUUAAUGUAUUUCCAGAGCAUUUCUAUUUUCACAUUCCAGAGGGGUAAAAAUCUUGAAAAGCAGAGCUAUCUAGGUUCCCCAACAUGAGGGCCAGCCAGUUCUAAGGAAGGGUUUGGUUUAGCCCAUUUUAAUUGACAUCUAGGUUAUUACAUUUCCCGGCAUACUUAAAGGAGGCCCACCAAGGGUGUAAACCAGGUCGCUUAUCACUCAUUUUGUGGCUGCUUUGUCGCCUUGUUUUAUUGUAAUAAAUGUCGCUGUCACUUUUGAUCCACAACACAAAUCAUGAACAGUAACUUUUUCCCAGUCAUAAAUUGUUGUUUGUCGCUCUUUUUAGAUAGUCUGUCACCUCUUUUUAAGGAAUGUCGCCUGUCGGUCAUAACCCCUUGAAGGUCUCUUAAAGAUGAUGUCCACUUACUGGUCACCGCAGGAGG